rnacentral:rRNA from 1 species
UGCCAGACUCCUACGGGAGGCAGCAGUGGGGAAUAUUGCACAAUGGGGGAAACCCUGAUGCAGCGACGCCGCGUGAGUGAAGAAGUAUUUCGGUACGUAAAGCUCUAUCAGCAGGGAAGAAAAUGACGGUACCUGACUAAGAAGCCCCGGCUAACUACGUGCCAGCAGCCGCGGUAAUACGUAGGGGGCAAGCGUUAUCCGGAUUUACUGGGUGUAAAGGGAGCGUAGGUGGCAUGGUAAGCCAGAAGUGAAAACCCGGGGCUCAACCCCGCGGAUUGCUUUUGGAACUAUCAGGCUGGAGUGCUGGAGGGGUAAGCGGAAUUCCUAGUGUAGCGGUGAAAUGCGUAGAUAUUAGGAGGAACACCGGUGGCGAAGGCGGCUUACUGGACAGAAACUGACACUGAGGCUCGAAAGCGUGGGGAGCAAACAGGAUUAGAUACCCUCGUAC